GUGUCUGCCGUCUGGGAUAGUUUACAUUGUUCUCUUUGUUAAUUGUUUUCAAUAUUACUGGUGUAUCAAUAUCUUUCGCAUUUGUCGCUGUUUCUUACUAAUUUAUCGGUAUUGUGAUGAUUGAUGAUAUCUGGGCAUUAUUUUACUUUAUAUUAUAGCUCCAGUGUGACCAAUAUGUCGACUCAUAAAGAUGUGGAGAAUCGAUACGAUGAUAUAGGAAAAACCGAAGACCACCGAAAAUACAGGAGCUUAGAACUCGCUAAUAUAAAAUGAAAGUUCUUUUAAUAAGCAAUCGAACAACUGCCAAUAGUUCUUUCGCAAUGGACGUUAAUAUCGGCUAUGUGUGCGAUCCAGACGAUCUACUUGGAUUAGCGCACUUGUGCGAGCGUAUGUUACAUUUGGGACCAAAAAAAUUUUCUCACUGAAAUAAUUACAAUAUAUAUCUGUGGUGGAAUGGCGAUUCGAGCAGCUCAUCGACAGGCUUAGAUUACACCACGUUUUACUUCGAUAUAAGACCGGAUAAGUUGGAAGGCGCUUUUUCACUUUACACAGUUUUUCUUAACGCUCUCUUUAUGGAAAAUUUGAUUGAUCAGAAGAUCAUCCGUAUUCAAAAUUUGGCGAAGGCAAUAGAGAGACAUUGGACAAAAUACCGAAGGAGAAAAACAUUAACAUUAGAAAUAAGCUAUUAGAGUUUUAUGAGACAUAUUAUUCUGCAAAUAUUAUAUCGCUGUGUAUUCUUGGCAAAG